GGAGAGUUGUCCGAGUGGUCGAAGGAGCACGCCUGGAAAGUGUGUAUACCCCAAAAGGGUAUCGAGAGUUCGAAUCUCUCACUCUCCGCCA
rnacentral:tRNA from 1 species